GGGUUGUGAGGUUAAGCGAAUAAGCGUACACGGUGGAUGCCUAGGCAAUCAGAGGCGAUGAAGGACGUGCUAAUCUGCGAAAAGCGUCGGUAAGGUGAUAUGAACCGUUAUACCCGACGAUAUCCGAAUGGGGAAACCCAGUAUCCAAUGGAUACUAUCAUUAACUGAAUUCAUAGGUUAAUGAGGCGAACCGGGAGAACUGAAACAUCUCAGUACCCCGAGGAAAAGAAAUCAACCGAGAUUCCCCUAGUAGCGGCGAGCGAACGGGGAGCAGCCCAGAGUCUUAAUCAAUAGCAGUGUCAGGAGAACGGUCUGGAAAGUCCGGCAGUAAAGGGUGAUAGCCCCGUAUCUGAAGAUGCUGUUAUUGUGAACUCGACGAGUAGGGCGGGACACGUGUUAUCCUGUCUGAAUAUGGGGGGACCAUCCUCCAAGGCUAAAUACUCCUGAUUGACCGAUAGUGAACCAGUACCGUGAGGGAAAGGCGAAAAGAACCCCGGCGAGGGGAGUGAAAAAGAACCUGAAACCGUGUACGUACAAGCAGUAGGAGCCUCUUUAUGGGGUGACUGCGUACCUUUUGUAUAAUGGGUCAGCGACUUAUAUUCUGUAGCAAGGUUAACCGUAUAGGGGAGCCGUAGGGAAACCGAGUCUUAACUGGGCGAAUGAGUUGCAGGGUAUAGACCCGAAACCCGGUGAUCUAUCCAUGGGCAGGUUGAAGGUUGGGUAACACUAACUGGAGGACCGAACCGACUAAUGUUGAAAAAUUAGCGGAUGACUUGUGGAUGGGGGUGAAAGGCCAAUCAAACCGGGAGAUAGCUGGUUCUCCCCGAAAGCUAUUUAGGUAGCGCCUCGUGAACUCAUCUUCGGGGGUAGAGCACUGUUUCGACUAGGGGUCAUCCCGACUUACCAACUCGAUGCAAACUGCGAAUACCGAAGAAUGUUAUCACGGGAGACACACGGCGGGUGCUAACGUCCGUCGUGAAGAGGGAAACAACCCAGACCGCCAGCUAAGGUCCCAAAGUCAUGGUUAAGUGGGAAACGAAGUGGGAAGGCUCAGACAGCCAGGAUGUUGGCUUAGAAGCAGCCAUCAUUUAAAGAAAGCGUAAUAGCUCACUGGUCGAGUCGGCCCGCGCGGAAGAUGUAACGGGGCUAAACCAUGCACCGAAGCUGCGGCAGCGACACAAUGUGUUGUUGGGUAGGGGAGCGUUCUGUAAGCC
rnacentral:rRNA from 1 species